AGAGCCCGCCAUGGGGGUCCAACUCAGAAACCGUGACAUCAUGACCUGAGCCGAAGUCAGACGCUUGACCAACUGAGCCACCAGGGUACCUCUCCUGUUUCCCACUUAACAGCCUAUUGCAGAUUUAAAACAGGACUCAAAAAAGGUGAACCCAAAAAUCCACCAAAAAUUGAAACCCUCCAUUGGAUUUUUUGCUUUUUGUAUGCCUGCCUUUAUGAUUCUAAUUAUUUUCACAGCAACUUGGCUGCCUGUUACAGACUGGGAAGAGUCAGUACAAAGAAGUGGUAUAAAAAUAACAGAAACAAGGUACAGAGAUUAUCACUGGGUAAAAGAGAAACCCCCUUAGGGCCUGGACAUCAGUGGGUCUCAAAGCUUCAGAGAAUGGCCAUAACUGCUUCAUCUGAUAGAAAGAAAAAUUUAGAGUCAGUAAAAUAGUACAACAUUGCUUGAUGUGACCUUUCUGCCUGCCCCUCUCAAAAAUAAGACUCAGUCAAAUCUAUUAAUGUCACAAAAGCUUGUGUGUGAGAAGGGCCUCAGACAGAGUCAGUGUUGGGUGAGAUAAGACAGAAUAUAAGGACAUCUGAGCUUAGAAGUGAGGCCAGGCAGAUGCCAGUUGGAGCAGGAUUAACAGCGACCUUGAGAGAGAGCUUUGGAUUUCACGAGCUGCAGAAUUAUUGACUAUAAGGACAUUUUACCUAGAGAUCAAGGGGCCAGUGAGGCCUCCAGCUGCCUUGAGGGUUAUCAUAAUUUACAGCUUUGUGUGAUUAAGCAAAAUGGAAAUAAGUUGACUACAAAAGCCGACAAGUGUGUUAUGUCAAAGAUCAUGGUGAUUUUGACUUCUUCUUCUUCUUGCCAAAUAACUUCAGAAUUCUCAUUUCUGAGCAGUCAUCAAAUCAUUUUCAUUUCCUUUGAACAAUUUUAACUCAUUUCGCAUUUUUCAGGACGUUGCCAUUAAUUUCAGUACGAAAACAAAAGAAAGUGUACCAGCCAGGGCUGAUAAAGCAGGAAAAGAUUUUACUCAAAGACUAUGGGAUUGCUCCCAGAGUUACCAGGAGGGCUGGCAAACAAGCCUCGUGAAACCAGAAGGAACAGUGGCAGACUAGGAGUCAGAGCCAUGGUCAAGAUUGUACUACAGAACCAGACUCAGGGAGGUUUACAACACAGCGAUUUGACAACUCGGUAGGUUACGCAACGCUCACCACGAGAAAGAGAGCACGAGCAAGGGAGGAGAAGAGAGAGGGAGAGAGAGAAUCUCAAGC